rnacentral:rRNA from 1 species
GACGAACGCUGGCGGCGUGCUUAACACAUGCAAGUCGAACGGUAAGGCCCUUCGGGGUACACGAGUGGCGAACGGGUGAGUAACACGUGGGUAAUCUGCCCUGCACUUCGGGAUAAGCCUGGGAAACCGGGUCUAAUACCGGAUAUUCAGUUCCUGCCGCAUGGUGGGGGUUGGAAAGUUUUUCGGUGCAGGAUGAGCCCGCGGCCUAUCAGCUUGUUGGUGGGGUAAUGGCCUACCAAGGCGACGACGGGUAGCCGGCCUGAGAGGGUGAUCGGCCACACUGGGACUGAGACACGGCCCAGACUCCUACGGGAGGCAGCAGUGGGGAAUAUUGCACAAUGGGCGAAAGCCUGAUGCAGCGACGCCGCGUGGGGGAUGACGGUCCUCGGAUUGUAAACCCCUUUCAGUAGGGACGAAGCGCAAGUGACGGUACCUGCAGAAGAAGCACCGGCCAACUACGUGCCAGCCGCCGCCGUAAUAC